UACGGGGGAGCAAGCGUUGUUCGGAUUUACUGGGCGUAAAGGGCGCGUAGGCGGCGUGACAAGUCACUUGUGAAAUCUCCGGGCUUAACUCGGAACGGUCAAGUGAUACUGUCGUGCUAGAGUACAGAAGGGGCAACUGGAAUUCUCGGUGUAGCGGUGAAAUGCGUAGAUAUCGAGAGGAACACCUGCGGCGAAGGCGGGUUGCUGGGCUGAUACUGACGCUGAGGCGCGAAAGCCAGGGGAGCGAACGGG
rnacentral:rRNA from 1 species